rnacentral:rRNA from 1 species
AGCAGCCGCGGUAAUUCCAGCUCCAAUAGCGUAUAUUAAAGUCGUUGCAGUUAAAAAGCUCGUAGUUGAAUUUCGGAAUCAAUAUAUCGGUCGUGCCAUUGGUACGUACUGGUAUCAUUGGUUUCUCCUUUCUGACGAACCAUGAUGUCAUUAAUUUGGUGUUAUGGGAAGUUAGGACUGUUACUUUGAAAAAAUUAGAGUGUUUAAAGCAGGCUUUAGCUUGAAUACAUUAGCAUGGAAUAAUGAAAUAGGACGUUCGAACCUAUUUUGUUGGUUUCUAGGAUCAACGUAAUGAUUAAUAGGGAUAGUUGGGGGCAUUAGUAUUCAAUUGUCAGAGGUGAAAUUCUUGGAUUUAUUGAAGACUAACUACUGCGAAAGCAUUUGCCAAGGAUGUUUUCAUUAAUCAAGAACGAAAGUUAGGGGAUCGAAGACGAUCAGAUACCGUCGUAG